UGCUUCUUUUUCAACUAAUUAUAACUAUAUACACUAAUUUCUCGAGCUAAAAUUCACAUAGACAACGACAAAACUGUAUACUGGCUUUGGUGGAAUUCUCUGUAACUAUGCAAGGUUGUUUCUAUCGGGUUUUUCAGGUUUUAUUUCAGACUCAGAUGAUAUCAUGUUGGAUGAGCUUUCAGCUAACUAUCAUGAUCUGAUCGUGGCCAAGGAUUUUGGUUAUGCGGAGCUAGUUUGUUAUUCUGACUCUUGUUUGCAUUAAUCCUAUUAAUGGUCCUGUGGAGAAAUACCAUGUUUAUGCAGUUUUUAUCCAAGACAU
rnacentral:lncRNA from 1 species